GACGGAGGAUGCAAGUGUUAUCCGGAAUCACUGGGCGUAAAGCGUCUGUAGGUGGUUUAAUAAGUCAACUGUUAAAUCUUGAGGCUCAACCUCAAAAUCGCAGUCGAAAACUAUUAGGCUAGAGUAUAGUAGGGGUAAAGGGAAUUUCCAGUGGAGCGGUGGAAAUGCGUAGAGAUUGGAAAGAACACCGAUGGCGAAGGCACUUUACUGGGCUAUUACUAACACUCAGAGACGAAAGCUAGGGUAGCAAUGGG
rnacentral:rRNA from 1 species